GAUGAACGCUGGCGGCGUGCUUAACACAUGCAAGUCGAACGGAAAGGCCAGUGCUUGCACUGGUACUCGAGUGGCGAACGGGUGAGUAACACGUGGGUGAUCUGCCCUGCACUUCGGGAUAAGCCUGGGAAACUGGGUCUAAUACCGGAUAGGACAAUGGUUUGGAUGCCGUUGUGGAAAGUUUUUUCGGUGUGGGAUGAGCUCGCGGCCUAUCAGCUUGUUGGUGGGGUAAUGGCCUACCAAGGCGUCGACGGGUAGCCGGCCUGAGAGGGUGUACGGCCACAUUGGGCCUGAGAGACGGCCCAGACUCCUACGGGAGGCAGCAAUGGGGAAUAUUGCACAAUGGGCGCAAGCCUGAUGCAGCGACGCCGCGUGGGGGAUGACGGCCUUCGGGUUGUAAGCUCCUUUCGCUAGGGACGAAGCGUAUUUGUGACGGUACCUGGAGAAGGAGCACCGGCUAACUACGUG
rnacentral:rRNA from 1 species